rnacentral:rRNA from 1 species
GACGAACGCUGGCGGCGUGCUUAACACAUGCAAGUCGAACGGAAAGGCCCUGCUUUUGUGGGGUGCUCGAGUGGCGAACGGGUGAGUAACACGUGAGUAACCUGCCCUUGACUUUGGGAUAACUUCAGGAAACUGGGGCUAAUACCGCAUAGGAGCUCCUGCUGCAUGGUGGGGGUUGGAAAGUUUCGGCGGUUGGGGAUGGACUCGCGGCUUAUCAGCUUGUUGGUGGGGUAGUGGCUUACCAAGGCUUUGACGGGUAGCCGGCCUGAGAGGGUGACCGGCCACAGUGGGACUGAGAUACGGCCCAGACGCCUACGGGAGGCAGCGGUGGGGAAUAUUGCAAAAUGGGCGGAAGCCUGAUGCAGCAACGCCGCGUGCGGGAUGACGGCCUUCGGGUUGUAAACCGCUUUCGCCUGUGACGAAGCGUGAGUGACGGUAAUGGGUAAAGAAGCAACGGCUAACUACGUG